AUCGGACGGCCCCAAAAGUCGAGCGCCGGGCGACGGAACACCCGGGUGCCCUUUAGAUUUUCCCAUUCAGAUACUGUCAUACUGAUACUUCACACCUCAUGCCAUGGCCUCCGCCGUCGCCUCUAUGCCGGCGAUGGCCGCGGCCACAAUCACCGCCAUCUUCUCACCGUCUCUCCCAUCCUUUCACCGUUCACACCAUAACUGCGGCCAUCGAGCUGCCACCACCACGAUGGUAGCAUUCUCCCGCCGCUUCCGCGAUGUAAACCCUAGCCAUAAACGCUCCGGAGGCAAGGCCACCCUGGCCCCCGCCACCGACGAAGGCUUCGGCGUCCUCGAGAUGGAGCUCUGGCGCCUCCGCCGGCGCGUGGAGCUGCGGCUCCACCGUCUGGCAGUCGAGGCAGACGAGGCCUACCGCGACCUUCGCUACGCGGCGCGCGACGUCGGCGGGGACCGCAUGGUCAUCACGUUCCGCCGUUCGUCGCUGCGCUUCGCUGCCUGUACGCUCCUCUGGUCGCUCGCCUUCGCCGUCGCGGCGCGAGCGCUGCUGGGGAUGGUUUUACGGGCGUGGUGGUGGCCGGGUUUAGGGAGGGGUUGGUGGGGUGGACGGGGUGGCGGCGGGGCGGUUGUUAGGCGGAGGGACCGCAGCCUUGGAGGGAAGGAGGUGGUGGUCGCUGUUUCGUCGUCCCCUGUGUCUGCAGCCCUGACUAGCCAUGUCCAAGAGCCAGCAAGGGUGGUCAGGAGGAGGGAGCCGCAAGCGAAGGUCCCGGAUUGGUGGCCGGAGGUGGGAUUGAAAGUAAUGGAACCAAGGCCAGAGAUGGAGAAGUGGACGCGACUGGCCAACAGAUUGGUCCGAGCAAUAAUUGAUAAUAGAAUCACUGGGAGAGAUUACACAUAUGAUGAUGCAAUUCAACUUAGGAAAAUAUGCAAGACAUGUGGCAUAAAGGUAUCCUUUGACACUGAGAAUGCUCGUAAUUCUUUCUACAGAGCAGCAGUGAACUUUGUUCUAGAUGAUUGCAGCAGAGCAGCACAAGUUAAUGAUGAGAAUCCAAGGGAUUUUCUCGCUGGUCUUGCUACUAAUAUUGGAUUGGACAAUUUUCGUGCUGCCACUCUUGUAUGUGCUUCAGUUGCUGCUCGCACACGUACAUGUUUCUUACAAUGCUGGGCUCUAGAGAUUCAAGGAAAACGACCUGAAGCACUGGAUGGGCUUUUGAAGAUCUGUAGAAUUCAUAACAUGUUUCCUCCUGAGGAAAAUUCUGCAGAGAUGGAAAUGGUGGCUGCUGGACUCGAAAAGAAUUUGCAAGUUGCUGAGAGGGUUCACCUUCUAACUUUAUUCCGGAGGGCUUGUACUACUGCUAACAUCAAAACAGCAGCAGAGGCUCUUGGCCUGGCAUAUAUGUCACCAAUUAUAGGAUGGAAUCAGCCAUUUUAGGAUGAGAGAAGGUUGAACAAAUUGGCUGCAUUGAAUUAUGAAGGGCCUGUUUGGUUCAUUUACCGAACUUGUCGCAGUGCAAGUGCGGUGCGCUGUCGUUCUGGCGAAGAAAAUGAUUGCCAGACACUCGAAUUUGUCAGAUGAAUGAGAAUACAGCAGAAGGGUUAGUUUUGUCCAACUCCCAUACAUCAACCUCAGAUGUUGGCCUGAAGCCCUCAACAACAAUUUAUGGUUGAAGCUUCAUGUAUCCUCAGUUUGCAAACAUGCAGAACAAAGCAUACCUCACGCCCAAGUUUCCAUCUCAUCAUGUACAGGCAAACAUAUUUUCGCCAUCCGCCCAUCCCCUAUGAGUGAUGCUGAAUCAUAUCUAGAGGACAGAUCUGCCCUCUCCAUCAUGAAUGGUGAUGAACCAUUUCGAUCCAUUCCUUUUCUUGUCUGCUUCAUCAAGCUUCUAUGUUAUUUUAUUUUAUUUAUUUUUUGGGGGAGGCUUUAUUGUGUGGAUCGCCCAUAAGUUAUAUUACCUCCUCUGUUAAAUAUGUAAUACCAUUGAUUUUUUUCAUUCAUUUGACUGUUCCUCUUUUUUACAAA